UACGAAGGGGGCUAGCGUUGUUCGGAAUUACUGGGCGUAAAGCGCACGUAGGCGGAUCUGUAAGUUGGGGGUGAAAUCCCAGGGCUCAACCCUGGAACUGCCUUCAAGACUGCAGGUCUCGAGGUCAGGAGAGGCGAGUGGAAUACCGAGUGUAGAGGUGAAAUUCGUAGAUAUUCGGAGGAACACCAGUGGCGAAGGCGGCUCACUGGCUCGAUACUGACGCUGAGGUGCGAAAGCGUGGGGAGCAAACAGG
rnacentral:rRNA from 1 species